GACGAACGCUGGCGGCGUGCCUAAUACAUGCAAGUCGAGCGGAACUGGGGGAGCUUGCUCCUUCCAGUUUAGCGGCGGACGGGUGAGUAACACGUGGGCAACCUGCCCUGCAGAUCGGGAUAACUCCGGGAAACCGGUGCUAAUACCGAAUAGUUUGGCGCCUCUCCUGAGGCGCUACGGAAAGACGGUUUCGGCUGUCACUGCAGGAUGGGCCCGCGGCGCAUUGGCUAGUUGGUGGGGUAACGGCCCACCAAGGCGACGAUGCGUAGCCGACCUGAGAGGGUGACCGGCCACACGGGGACUGAGACACGGCCCAGACUCCUAUGGGAGGCAGCAGUAGGGAAUCUUCCGCAAUGGGCGCAAGUCUGACGGAGCAACGCCGCGUGAGUGACGAAGGUUUUCGGAUCGUAAAACUCUGUUGUGAGGGAAGAACACGUACCAACUAACUAUUGGUACCUUGACGGUACCUCACCAGAAAGCCACGGCUAACUACGUGCCAGCCGCCGCGGUAA
rnacentral:rRNA from 1 species